GUGGGGAAUAUUGCACAAUGGGGGAAACCCUGAUGCAGCGACGCCGCGUGAAGGAAGAAGUAUUUCGGUAUGUAAACUUCUAUCAGCAGGGAAGAAAAUGACGGUACCUGACUAAGAAGCCCCGGCUAACUACGUGCCAGCAGCCGCGGUAAUACGUAGGGGGCAAGCGUUAUCCGGAUUUACUGGGUGUAAAGGGAGCGUAGACGGACAUGCAAGUCUGGAGUGAAAGCCCGGGGCUCAACCCCGUGACUGCUUUGGAAACUGUGAGUCUGGAGUACCGGAGAGGCAGGCGGAAUUCCCAGUGUAGCGGUGAAAUGCGUAGAUAUUGGGAGGAACACCAGUGGCGAAGGCGGCCUGCUGGACGGUAACUGACGUUGAGGCUCGAAAGCGUGGGGAGCAAACAGG
rnacentral:rRNA from 1 species